UGCCCAUAAAGUAACCACCUGUCGCCUGUAAAUCCCUCAGCUCUUUAGCCAGAAUCCUGUAAACAUGGCACCCCCAUGUUGACUUGACCUUUGAGGCGCACCUCUACCAGUUACGUGUCCAACUUGAGGCCACUCAAUCCCUCGCUAAUAUGGGAAUAAUUAGAUUGGAAAAGGUGAAACAUCUUUGGGACAUGACUUGGCCGCCUGACAGGAUGGGAUCAACACUAUCUUGCGAUGGAAGAGACACCAGGGAUAUCUCAUACACUUAAUAUGAUGCUUGCCCUGAUACUGGUGAUGAGAAUCUGGGAACUGUCUGGCCCAUUGUCAACAAACAUCAGGGGUGGUUACCUGCUGGGUCUGGCUUUGAGGCGGCACCAUCCUGACUGGUGACAGGGAAGAAUGUGAGGAGGACAGUGCGAAAUCGUGAGCGGUCUGUGUACAGGGAGUCUAUGGAGGGGAGCUCUGUCCCUGUGAUCCUCGUUGCUGUUUUAACAAUCCUCUGGAGGGCCUUCUUCUCCUUUACUGUAGUGUUGCCAUACCACACAGUAAUGCCCCUU